UACGAGGGGUCCUAGCGUUGUUCGGAAUUAUUGGGCGUAAAGAGUACGUAGGCGGCCAGAUAAGUCAGGUGUGAAAUCCCCGGGCUCAACCCGGGAAGUGCAUUUGAUACUGUCUGGCUUGAGUAUGGAAGAGGGUAGUGGAAUUCCGGGUGUAGUGGUGAAAUACGUAGAUAUCAGGAGGAACACCGGUGGCGAAGGCGGCUACCUGGUCCUAUACUGACGCUGAGGUACGAAAGCGUGGGGAGCAAACAG
rnacentral:rRNA from 1 species